rnacentral:rRNA from 1 species
CCCUUAGACGUUCUGGGCCGCACGCGCGCUACACUGACCAGUGCAACAAGCAUCCGUCCUUGGCCGACAGGCCCGGGCAAUCUUUGAACGCUGGUCGUGAUGGGGAUAGACUUUUGCAAUUUUUGGUCUUCAACGAGGAAUUCCUAGUAAACGCAAGUCAUCAACUUGCAUUGAUUACGUCCCUGCCCUUUGUACACACCGCCCGUCGCACCUACCGAUUGAAUGGUCCGGUGAAGCCUCCGGAUUGGCGCGCACCUCGGUACCGCCGAGAAGUUGGCUAAACCUUACCAUUUAGAGGAAGGUGAAGUCGUANCA